rnacentral:rRNA from 1 species
UACAGAGGGUGCAAGCGUUAAUCGGAAUUACUGGGCGUAAAGCGUGCGUAGACGGUUACAUAAGUCGGGUGUGAAAGCCCCGGGCUCAACCUGGGAAUUGCAUUCGAGACUGCGUAGCUAGGGUGCGGAAGAGGGAAGCGGAAUUUCCGGUGUAGCGGGUGAAAUGCGUAGAUAUCGGAAGGAACACCAGUGGCGAAAAGCGGCUUCCUGGUCCAGCACCGGACGUCAGGCACGAAAGCGUGGGGAGCAAACA